rnacentral:rRNA from 1 species
GAGUUUGAUCAUGGCUCAGGACGAACGCUGGCGGCGUGCUUAACACAUGCAAGUCGAACGAUGAAGCCUAGCUUGCUAGGUGGAUUAGUGGCGAACGGGUGAGUAAUACGUGAGUGACCUACCUUUGACUCUGGGAUAAGCCUGGGAAACUGGGUCUAAUACCGGAUACGACCAAUCUCCGCAUGGGGUGUUGGUGGAAAGCGUUAUGGAGUGGUUUUAGAUGGGCUCACGGCCUAUCAGCUUGUUGGUGAGGUAAUGGCUUACCAAGGCGACGACGGGUAGCCGGCCUGAGAGGGUGACCGGCCACACUGGGACUGAGACACGGCCCAGACUCCUACGGGAGGCAGCAGUGGGGAAUAUUGCACAAUGGGCGCAAGCCUGAUGCAGCGACGCCGCGUGAGGGAUGACGGCCUUCGGGUUGUAAACCUCUGUUAGCAUCGAAGAAGCGAAAGUGACGGUAGGUGCAGAGAAAGCGCCGGCUAACUACGUGCCAGCAGCCGCGGUAAUACGUAGGGCGCGAGCGUUGUCCGGAAUUAUUGGGCGUAAAGAGCUUGUAGGCGGUUGGUCGCGUCUGCUGUGAAAGGCUGGGGCUUAACCCUGGUUUUGCAGUGGGUACGGGCUAACUAGAGUGCAGUAGGGGAGACUGGAAUUCCUGGUGUAGCGGUGGAAUGCGCAGAUAUCAGGAGGAACACCGAUGGCGAAGGCAGGUCUCUGGGCUGUAACUGACGCUGAGAAGCGAAAGCAUGGGGAGCGAACAGGAUUAGAUACCCUGGUAGUCCAUGCCCGUAACGUUGGGCACUAGGUGUGGGGGACAUUCCACGUUUUCCGCGCCGUAGCUAACGCAUUAAGUGCCCCGCCUGGGGAGUACGGCCGCAAGGCUAAAACUCAAAGAAAUUGACGGGGGCCCGCACAAGCGGCGGAGCAUGCGGAUUAAUUCGAUGCAACGCGAAGAACCUUACCAAGGCUUGACAUAUACUCCCCCCCCCCCAGAUGGCGUUUCCCUUCGGGGCUGGUAUAAAGGUGGUGCAUGGUUGUCGUCAGCUCGUGUCGUGAGAUGUUGGGUUAAGUCCCGCAACGAGCGCAACCCUCGUUCUAUGUUGCCAGCACGUGAUGGUGGGGACUCAUAGGAGACUGCCGGGGUCAACUCGGAGGAAGGUGGGGAUGACGCCCCCUCAUCAUGCCCCUUAUGUCUUGGGCUUCCCGCCCCCUACAAUGGCCGGUACAGAGGGUUGCGAUACUGUGAGGUGGAGCUAAUCCCUAAAAGCCGGUCUCAGUUCGGAUUGGGGUCUGCAACUCGACCCCAUGAAGUCGGAGUCGCGAGUAAUCGCAGAUCAGCAACGCUGCGGUGAAUACGUUCCCGGGCCUUGCACACACCGCCCGUC